rnacentral:misc_RNA from 1 species
GAUGAAGAACGUAGCGAAAUGCGAUAAGUAAUGUGAAUUGCAGAAUUCAGUGAAUCAUCGAAUCUUUGAACGCACAUUGCGCCCCUUGGUAUUCCGAGGGGCAUGCCUGUUCGAGCGUCAUUAUAACCCCUCAAGCUCAGCUUGGUGUUGGGGCCUGCUGCACUGGCAGCCCUUAAAAUCAGUGGCGGCGUCAUCUGGCUCUAAGCGUAGUAAUUCUUCUCGCUAUGGAGUCCUGGUGGAUGCUUGCCAUCAACCCCCAAUUUUUCUAUGGUUGACCUCGGAUCAGGUAGGGAUACCCGCUGAACUUAAGCAUAUCAAUAAGCGGAGGA